GGAAUGGAAAACACUUUGGAGUCCAGUAUUGCUAUUAACUAAUGGUCUGCCCUUGGGAUCGAGGAUGACUCACAUUCACCCUGGUACCGUCAGAGGAAACCAUGGUCCUCAGUAGCAAGUUAGCAGGAGGCCUUUCUCUCAUGAACGUUGAGCAUACGGCCCUUUCUCUUGUUCUUUUGAAGACCCUGACCUGGAGUUACACGCUGACUUUGGUUCUUUGCAGGAAUGGGACCCACUCUCAGGGCUACGUUUUGACAUCCCA